UAAGACAGAGGGUGCAAACGUUGCUCGGAAUCACUGGGCGUAAAGGGCGCGUAGGCGGGAAUGUAAGUCGGGCGUGAAAUCCCCAGGCUCAACCUGGGAACUGCACUCGAAACUGCGUUUCUUGAGUAUCGGAGAGGAAAGCGGAAUUCCUGGUGUAGAGGUGAAAUUCGUAGAUAUCAGGAGGAACACCAGUGGCGAAGGCGGCUUUCUGGACGGUAACUGACGCUGAGGCGCGAAAGCGUGGGGAGCAAACAGGAUUAGAUACCCUGGUAGUCCACGCUGUAAACGAUGAGCGCUAGGUGUCGUGGGUAUUGACCCCCGCGGUGCCGAAGCUAACGCAUUAAGCGCUCCGCCUGGGAAGUACGGUCGCAAGACUA
rnacentral:rRNA from 1 species